AUAGCAUAUGGACCGUCAAUCUACCGAGCAAUUUCACCCGCUCGGUGGAAGAUCUAAUACUGCUUU
rnacentral:pre_miRNA from 1 species